rnacentral:rRNA from 1 species
AACGCGAAGAACCUUACCUGGGCUCGAAAUGUAGAGGACGAUAUCAGAAAUGAUAUUUCUCGAAAGGGUCUUUACAUAGGUGCUGCAUGGCUGUCGUCAGCUCGUGCCGUGAGGUGUUUGGUUAAGUCCAGCAACGAGCGCAACCCUUAUCGUUAGUUGCCAACGCGUAAAGGCGGGAACUCUAACGAGACUGCCUGGGUUAACCAGGAGGAAGGUGAGGAUGACGUCAAGUCCGCAUGGCCUUUAUGUCCAGGGCUACACACGUGCUACAAUGGUCGGUACAGAAGGCAGCGAAACCGUAAGGCGGAGCAAAUCCUGUAAAACCGAUCUCAGUUCAGAUUGUAGACUGCAAUUCGUCUACAUGAAGUUGGAAUUGCUAGUAAUGGCGUGUCAGCAACAACGCCGUGAAUACGUUCCCGGGCCUUGUA